rnacentral:rRNA from 1 species
GACGAACGCUGGCGGCGUGCUUAACACAUGCAAGUCGAACGAUGAAGUUCCUUCGGGAAUGGAUUAGUGGCGAACGGGUGAGAAACACGUGAGAAACCUGCCUUUCAUUUUGGGAUAACUCCGGGAAACCGGAGCUAACACCGAAUACUCCGUCUCGGCGGCAUCGCUGAGCCGGGAAAAAAUUUUGAUGAAAGAUGGUCUCGCGGCCUAUCAGCUAUUUGGGCAGGGAAGGGCUCACCAAGGCGACGAAGGGUAGCCGGCCUGAGAGGGCGCCCGGCCACACUGGGACUGAGACACGGCCCAGACUCCUACGGGAGGCAGCAGUGGGGAAUAUUGGGCAAUGGGCGCAAGCCUGACCCAGCGACGCCGCGUGAGGGAUGAAGGCCUUCGGGUUGUAAACCUCUUUCAGUAGGGAAGAAGCGAAAGUGACGGUACCUAUAGAAGAAGCACCGGCUAACUAUGUGCCAGCAGCCGCGGUAA